rnacentral:piRNA from 1 species
AGGGGAUUUCAGGACUGAGCAGUU